rnacentral:rRNA from 1 species
UCGUGAAACUGUUUCCUGGCCUCGGCCAGUCGACACUUCAUAACCAAACCCAAACCUCAAAACCAAAGUUUUGACCCAAACCAACCUCCAAUCUGAACCGUAACGGGACGGCCGCAAGGCCUCCCGACGAUUAUCUAAUAAUCAUACGACUUUCAGCGGCGGAUGUCUUGGUUCCCACAUCGAUGAAGAACGCAGCGAAAUGCGAUACGUAAUGCGAAUUGCAGAGUCUUGCGAGUCAUCAAAUUUUCGAACGCACCUGGCACUUCCGGGUAUUCCUGGGAGUAUGCUUUAUAGAGUGUCUGUUGGACCAUCACCCCCUUUUCCCCCGGGACGAGGGCGGCGGAGGUUGCUCGCCACUUCUCUUCGGAGAGGUGAUGAGUCAAGCACUCGAGAUACAAACCGUCGAGACCGACGGGCGUGGUAGCGAUCUUCACGAUCACACAUCCUCCCCGGCGAGAACUUCGGUUGUUCUGACAGAGGAACUGGUGUUGCUUCGGCAUCCCACUGUUCAGAUCUCUAUUGAAGCAAGAAGACCCCCUGAAUUUAAGCAUAU